rnacentral:rRNA from 1 species
UACGGGGGGGGGGCAAGCGUUGUUCGGAAUUACUGGGCGUAAAGGGCUCGUAGGUGGCCAACUAAGUCAGACGUGAAAUCCCUCAGCUUAACUGGGGAACUGCGUCUGAUACUGGAUGGCUUGAGUUUGGGAGAGGGAUGCGGAAUUCCAGGUGUAGCGGUGAAAUGCGUAGAUAUCUGGAGGAACACCGGUGGCGAAGGCGGCAUCCUGGACCAAUACUGACACUGAGGAGCGAAAGCCAGGGGAGCAAACGGG